rnacentral:lncRNA from 1 species
CUCAACCCCAGCCAGCCCCUGCUUCCUGGAAGUGUUGACCACUCAUGUCUCUGGAAGGCGCCCUCAAGCUUAUGAUGACGCAAGAGCAGAGAUGUGUUAGUUGUAGCAGACACAUGGCCCUCUGAAUCAGGGCUCCUCCAGCUGGUCUGGGAAAGGUGCUGGACGUCGCUUCAUCCUGUUCUCCCUGGAUGAUCUCUGCCAACUGGUAUGAAGUGAUGCCCUCUGACUGGCUGGCGUGCAACUGAGUUCUCUCCCACCUUGCUGCCUGCAUUACCCUGGACAGAUGUGCAAGUCCUAGGUGCCCUGGUUUCUUCAUCUUUAAGUCCAUUAAACAUUUAUGCAGAUAAAACCCUGGUGGCCUGCCCAUGAUCUCUGGACCUGCUGGAGUUGCAGGAGAGAACUCUACAGAAGCCUAGCAACAUUUUCCCAGGUAUCAAGAGAAGGGAGGUAAUUCUCAGUCAAGUGCAACUACACCUCAGGGUCAGGUUUUAUCCCCAUGCUAAUCCCAGCAUUUGGGAGUCAGUGUUAAGAGGAGCAUGGAGAAGGGAGAGAUUAAUUCCAGCCAAGGGGGUCACUACUUAAACCACAUCUGCAUCAUUCUAUUUCUCCUGGGAUGUCACACUUUGCUGGGUAUUGGCAAAUAGAUAUAUUUUUAAAAUACACAGAUCCAUUUCUGGGCCAUAUAGGAUGCUAUGUGUAGGUGAAGUGUGUGCUGAGAAGAGGGCUGGUAAGAGGUGA